UCGAAAGACAUUCAUUCAAGAGAUCCUAACGUGAUUAUCGUAAAUAGCUGGAAUUGUAGAUAUUUACAAUGACAUAGAUCAUUUUUCUUCGACGUAAUUACGGCCUAAUGUCGAGACAAGAAUAAUAUGACGCUGAUCUGUGUUUUGACAAGAAUAUGAAUGAUCUUAAGAAAAGGCUUCGCUGAAUCAAUUGGAAGACAGCGUCUUCAAUUGUCCUACUAAAUUCUUUACGGAUGACAUCUGGGUCUGGGGAGAUCAUGCAAAAAAAUAAGACAUCAUUUAUAACUUUCAACCUUCCGCUCACAGGACAAAUUCUCGAAGACGCUACGAAAAGAUGCUGAGCUUGAUCAUAAUUCUUCAGGCUCCCAAUUCAAGAAUACAAUUACUUAGCGUGGGUGCUUCUGCUCAGUCUUCGUUUCCUAUCUCCACAUACGAAUCACUCGCUUGUUACUAAUUCGAAUAAUUUACUGCUGUAAGGAGUCGUACCGCCAACUAAAUCUGAAUAACAAUUUGGCUGCUAGAAGUCAAAAAGUAGGCGCUGCAAUGAUUAUGUGGUAUGAUCAGAUUGUGUCGCAACAUUCAGCGGGGUUUUGACUCAAUGGGACCGCUGCUAAUAAAGUGUUUAACUAGCGAAUUUUGGAACACACCCGUUGACAAAAGUAUAAGGAGUCUCUUUCCGUGAGUUCCCCUCUUCCUCUCACUGCACUUCAACUAUGCCUUAUAGCAACCAAGAAGCUAGAAAAUGCCAACUAUUAAAAAGAUAACCUCUUUGGAAUCAAAUAAAACGGAGAUUAUCUUGGGAUCUAUUUCACAAAUUUACGGCUAAUUGGAAUGAACAGCGCCAAGUAGCACUGGACAAACUGCAGAGAGUAUUAGAACUUGCUUUAUUCCGUAUAUCGUACUUUAGGUCGUCAGUUUUACCACUUCGGUACGCAAAUGAAAAUAAAAAGCUCAUUCACAACUUAGACACAAUUUCGCCGUUUACAAGUAGCUGAAAAGUCCAUCUAUCGAAUUAUGAAUGAUACUAUUUUAAAUAUCGUCGUUACUGCACUCGUUUUCCACGUUCUUUUUAUCCACACAUCCGAUGUUUUAUUUACAGUUGAGCAUCUCAGGGCCAGCGACAAAUAUAAACAUAUUAUACUCAAAAUGAAGCUCGUUGAAAAGAGAAUAUUUCUUAACCUCUUUUACAGUGCUUUCAACACCUUUUCACCUGUGUGCCAUGUCAGAUUAAGGAUGCUCAACUUUUCGAAUUAUUAUUACAAAUUUCAAAGAAAUUACUAGUCCUUUUUGUCCCCUAAUGUAUCCCUCAUUUCAUACCGUCGUUUUGGGGUUCCAACUACGUAUAGCUUUCAAGUGUGGUUUUACGGUAAGAACAACCCCCCAUCGGUUGGUGCGGAAUACUUUCCUAUUCUCAUCGAGAGCCGAGCCAUACAUCUAAGGUGGACAGAAAGCUAAAAUUCCAAAACAGAAAAAUCUAACAUCUUUGCUCCCUUACAAGUAGGAACGCUGGCGUAUCAACCCGUCUCCAGAUUUGCCCAGCAUUUCUGUAGAACACCCAAUGCGAAUGAAGACUAAUGAAUAUUGUAAAGACAAAAAAUAGGAAAAGUUUAAUUAGUGAUGGUUCUCACCACCCCAAAACGGUCACUUGCAUGCAUUGAGGACAUGCACCUGCAGUACUUGUUUUUCUCGAAUGUUUUUACCAUCUCUUUUUUCCUUAUCUGAGCUACUGACGCAGACGGACAUUGUUUCAUAUUUCGAAAGCUGUGCGGGAAAACGGAUCCUAACACGAAUGUGAAUGCGCUAAUCAAUAUUUCCACCACAUGAAACCUGCUACUUUUUCAGUCCUCUUCGUAUGCAUUUCCCAAAAUUCAUUCGUAGCCUUGUCAACUUAGACUCAGUUCCACGGCGUGCAGGACGGGGUAUUAUGAAUAAAAGGAUCCACGGGUGAGAUUUGUUCUGUGUUUUAGGUAUGGAGUUUUGUACCACAAAACUUUAGGAAUACCGGAUUUUGUGCCUACGCCAGCCCCAGAGUAUGUUCUCACAGCUGUAAUUCCUAGUGAUCUUUUCCUGGCUCCAAUAGGAACGCCGGUAGGCAAAUUAAACUUUCGCGGCAGGAAAAAAAAGGCUUUUUCUUUUUUGCCUUUCAGUUUCUCGGAAUGUGGCAUUACAUAAGCAUAAUCCUUUUUGGGUGUGCCUGGAAAGUUCAAAUUAAGGUUUUUUUCUUCUGUUUUCUUGACAAGAAAAUGUCGCCCAAAGAGUUUCGGCCGUUAUUUUUCCUAUCGAAGUGGGUCCUUUUUGUCUUUAGUCCUUCUCUGGGGCUAGCGAUCACUGCAAAAUUAGGCUUCACUGGUACGAGUUAACUUUUUUUCUUUUUUUUUGUCAUCCUUUUCUUUGGGGCUAAGAACGGACUUCCCUUUUCUUUUUCUUUGUUGCAGCAGUGGCUUCAAAGAACUGCUGAUUGCUCAAGGCAAUCAGUCCGAGCGUUUAGAAGGUGAUUGUAGGCAGAAAUUAACUUUGCGGUAAAAGAAUGACAUUCUUUCUUAAAAGAAAAAUUAGCUUUUUUUUGUCAGGCAUUGCACAAACUUUUUUAUUUCUGCCUAUACUCUUAAACAGAUCAGUCAUUCAUGUUGUCUUUUUAACGGUCGUACUGGGACAUCGCAUGCCUUGGGAUUCCGUAAUUAGGUGCAACAAUACGGGCACAACUCAUUCUGCGCUAUCUUCACGGACUGAACUUCUAUUGCCUAUCGGUGGUGUGAUUAACAAUUGGAAGCGCAGAGCUUGGAAUGGAUUUCCAAUUCAAUGGAUUUGGAGGUAUUCGUUUGUUUACUAAUAUUUACUUUGAGGACAUUGCCCAACCCUAAAAGUGCCUGUUCCAGAAUAGAAUAACAUUAUGAUACGUUUUCUUGACCGCUGAGCAAUUUAAAGCAAUUAUUAGGGUACGAUUGUUUCUAGAGAAAUGUGGGUCAUCUUUUUAGGUCCAUUCUCUUCUGAUGAGGUAACCUUUACAAAAAUGUCAUAGAGUUACCAAUUGGGAUUCAAGGCAUCAUCGCAAUAUACUUCGUUCUCUUACGGAGAAAUUAAGCUCUUUCUACUUUGAAUUAACUGUUAGACUUGUCUUAUCUGAGGAAUGUCCGUGUUCAAAUUAAAUAAAAAUUUAGGGCAGUUUUAUUUACCUUAACAAAUAUGUUCAAGCAUGUACGU
rnacentral:sRNA from 6 species